AGUCUCAGCACACCCGUGAGAACGCCCUUUAAACCUUCCCCAGGUAAAGGAGCUGGUAUCAGGCACAGAUCCUUGCCCACAACACCUAGUCUCACCACACCCCCAAGGGUACUCAGCAGUGAUUAACUUUGCGCAUAAGCGACAGCUUGACUCAGUCAGGGAAAAUCAGGGCCGGCUAACACGGUGCCAGCCGCCGCGGCUACACCAUGGACUCAAGUUGAUACUCACCGGCGUUAAGCGUGAUUAAAGUUCUCAUAAAGUAGGGUUAAAUUAACACUUAGUAGUUUUAUGCUUGUUGUUAAGAAAUACACAAACGAAAGUUACCCUAUACCACCUUGAAUACACGACAGCUAGGAAAACAAACUGGGAUUAGAUACCCCACUAUGCCUAGCCGUAAACAAUUAACUUACACCCACACCGCCAGGGAAUUACGAGCAAUGCUUAAAACCCAAAGGAUUUGACGGUGUCCCACCCCGCUAGAGGAGCCUGUUCUAUAAUCGAUGAUCCCCGCUUCACCUAACCAUUCCUCGCCCAUCAGUCUGUAUACCUCCGUCGAAAGCUUACCCUGUGAACGUCCGCAGUAGGCCCAAUGAUUCCCCAUCAGUACGUCAGGUCAAGGUGCAGCUUAAGGAAUGGCAAGCAAUGGGCUACAAUUUCUAAUCUAGAACAAACGAAAGACUAUGUGAAACCCUAGUCAUGAAGGUGGAUUUAGUAGUAAAAAGAAACUAGAG
rnacentral:rRNA from 1 species